rnacentral:rRNA from 1 species
AUUGAACGCUGGCGGCAUGCUUUACACAUGCAAGUCGAACGGUAACAGGUUAAGCUGACGAGUGGCGAACGGGUGAGUAAUGCAUCGGAACGUGCCCGAUCGUGGGGGAUAACGCAGCGAAAGCUGCGCUAAUACCGCAUACGAUCUGAGGAUGAAAGCGGGGGACCGUAAGGCCUCGCGCGAUCGGAGCGGCCGAUGUCAGAUUAGGUAGUUGGUGGGGUAAAGGCCCACCAAGCCGACGAUCUGUAGCUGGUCUGAGAGGACGACCAGCCACACUGGGACUGAGACACGGCCCAGACUCCUACGGGAGGCAGCAGUGGGGAAUUUUGGACAAUGGGCGAAAGCCUGAUCCAGCAAUGCCGCGUGCAGGAAGAAGGCCUUCGGGUUGUAAACUGCUUUUGUACGGAGCGAAAAGGCUUCCACUAAUACUGGGGGCUCAUGACGGUACCGUAAGAAUAAGCACCGGCUAACUACGUGCCAGCAGCCGCCGUAAAAC